rnacentral:lncRNA from 1 species
UACCACAGUGACAUGUAAGCAACUCACUAUAUUUUGGUACCGGACUAUCUGAAUUUUUAAUUUAGUGAUAGAAGAUUUUUGGGUGUAAUCAAGUACUUAUCAAAUUGGUGCGUGAGUCAAGAUGGGAUUGACCCCUUCGAAUAACUAGGAGUUAAUGCAUCAAUAUAUUUUAAUUUAGUAAAAUUUUGAUCAUGAUAAUUCAUGUGAUAGAUUUAAAAGAUUGAAAUAUAAUAUGGUUGACUAUUCCAGAAUUGA